GGAAGGGUGGCAGAGUGGUCGAUUGCAGCGGUCUUGAAAACCGCCGGUGGGCAACCAUCCGUGGGUUCGAAUCCCACCCCUUCCGCCA
rnacentral:tRNA from 1 species